UACGGGGGGGCAAGCGUUGUUCGGAAUUACUGGGCGUAAAGCGUGCGCAGGCGGUUCUAUAAGACAGAUGUGAAAUCCCCGGGCUUAAACCUGGGAACUGCAUUUGUGACUGGCGGGCUAGAGUAUGGCAGAGGGGGGUAGGAAUUCCACGUGUAGCAGUGAAAUGCGUAGAGAUGUGGAGGAAUACCGAUGGCGAAGGCAGCCCCCUGGGCCAAUACUGACGCUCAUGCACGAAAGCGUGGGGAGCAAACAGG
rnacentral:rRNA from 1 species